rnacentral:rRNA from 1 species
AGCAGUAGCCGCGGUAAUACGAAGGGGGCUAGCGUUGUUCGGAUUUACUGGGCGUAAAGCGCAUGUAGGCGGAUCGAUCAGUCAGGGGUGAAAUCCCAGAGCUCAACUCUGGAACUGCCUUUGAUACUGUCGAUCUGGAGUAUGGAAGAGGUGAGUGGAAUUCCGGGUGUAGAGGUGAAAUUCGUAGAUAUUCGGAGGAGCACCAGUGGCGAAGGCGGCUCACUGGUCCAUUACUGACGCUGAGGUGCGAAAGCGUGGGGAGCAAACAGGAUUAGAUACCCCCGUAGUCCCUGUCUCUUAUAC